rnacentral:rRNA from 1 species
CCUUGACAUACUAAGAACUUUCCAGAGAUGGAUUGGUGCCUUCGGGAACUUAGAUACAGGUGCUGCAUGGCUGUCGUCAGCUCGUGUCGUGAGAUGUUGGGUUAAGUCCCGNAACGAGCGCAACCCUUUUCCUAUUUGCCAGCGGGUCAUGCCGGGAACUUUUAAGGAUACUGCCAGUGACAAACUGGAGGAAGGCGGGGACGACGUCAAGUCAUCAUGGCCCUUACGGCCAGGGCUACACACGUGCUACAAUGGUCGGUACAAAGGGUUGCUACCUCGCGAGAGGAUGCUAAUCUCAAAAAGCCGAUCGUAGUCCGGAUCGCAGUCUGCAACUCGACUGCGUGAAGUCGGAAUCGCUAGUAAUCGCGGAUCAGAAUGCCGCGGUCGAAUACGUUCCCGGGCCUUGUACACACCGCCCGUCACACCAUGGGAGUUUGUUGCACCAGAAGUAGGUAGUCUAACCGCAAGGAGGACGCUUACCACGGUGUGGCCGAUGACUGGGGUGAAGUCGUAACAAGGUAGGCGUAGAUGA